rnacentral:tRNA from 1 species
AUUAAGUUGGCAGAGUAAUGUAAUUGAUUUAGGAUCAAUAGAAAUAGGUUAAAAUCCUUUACUUAAUA